CUGGAAUAUCAAUUUUCUUAGAGGCAUGGCUCUGGUGUAUUAUUUUCAAUCCUGGGCUUAAGACAUUUUUAUCAAUAAUAUUCUAUUGAUACAGUUAUCCAUUUCAUGCUUCUGCUUUUUGGGCAUUUUUGAGCCUUGAAUUGCAUACCAGAAUUUUGUACCAGUUAUUUUCAUAUUUGACCCACUUUCUGUUUGUUCUGGAAUAAUGGUCAGAAGGGAGACAGUGAUGUUGUUUUCAUCUUUUAGUUCAGAAAAUGGACAUUAGUAAGAGCCUUAGUCCUGGCAAGGUAAUUCAGUGUCGGUUACAAUCGUGGCCUUUUUAUACAAAUGCUGAUGAUGCAGCCAUGGUGAGGCUCUUCUCUUCUGUCUCUUGCCUGUGUAAAGAUGAAUCUGAGUCUUUUUAUCUGAAACCCUGCUAUUAGGGUUACACUCAUGAGUCAUUAGUUUAAGUAUGAGGCUCCACUCUUUGAGAGAAGGUUGUCUUGAUAGCUGUUGCCCUCUUGAAGUUGCUGUGUUAGCCAAUGAUCAUUAUAAUUGAGUUUACCAAACAGCUCUCCACAUACAUACACGCACCCAAACAUAUAUUUCUUUCUGCUUCUACUGGGAUUCAGCUACUUCUUCUUCUUCUUCUUGCUACUACGAGGCAAUGAUGAUGUUUUCUGCAAUUAGACCAGAUAUGAGUGAAGAGCUGUGUCCUGGCUAGGUGACUUGGCAUCUGUGUGAAAUUUACCUUCUGGUUCUUGCACAGAUGCUAUUGACGCAGCCUGUGCACAAGCCAUUCCUUUGCUGUCUGAAAAAAGGCGAAUCUGAGCCUCCUUUAUUCAUAAUAAUUUUAACUUUCUGACAAUUAUGAAUUUAUAUUUUCCUUCUGAAUGCUUUAAUAUGGCAGGUGACAGGAACACAUUAGUUUACUCCGUUCAUUGUUCACCAAUAUGGCCGAUACUUUUUAUUGCACUUAAACUAGUGCUUUCCUUUGGCUUCCAAUGUUUCUGCAUUUGUAUGUGACUUGGGGAGUGACAUGUGGCUGAAAAGUGUCCUUUUUGAGCAAUUGAUAAUAGUUUUAUUUUUGAGGUUUCUCUGCCCCUCUUAAGACCAGUUAUCAUUAUACUAUACCAUACCCUUACCGAGCCCUUACUAUAAUUUCAGUUUACAAUUUGGCAGCCGUGUUAGCAAGCUCCAAUGGUGGAAACCCAUAAGAACUACUUAUUUCUUAGAUGGGAGAGGGACGAGGUUUUGGGCAAUGAAUUUUCUGAAGAGGAUCUCUGCACAGAAACAAAAAUGAAAGGAAAAGAGAAACAUUUAGCCAAAAAUCGAGGACUAUUGAAAGAAAAGUAGAGUAACCAAAAGGAUUUGCACACCCCUGGAUUUAAGUUCAUUGUAAAGCUUCAACGAGUGAUCAAGAGCAGGUGCAUUACCCUUUUUCAUCCAUUCCUCUAGAGAUGUCACACUCAGUUUCCUUCCCCUAUUGUCAAAGAAAUUCGUCAUUAUGCACAAUGAUCAUGAACAAAGCAAAGGAGAUCGAUGGAGCAAUAGAAUCUUAACAAUUUGUUUGUAUUCACAAUAGAUGGUCUGAGAUCAAGUUGAAAGACCAAUUCACUUUAUUUUAAACAAUUGCUCACAUGUUAACUCAAAAUGAAAAGGUGAUUCUGAUUUAAAAUGGUUGAUUGAAACACUUUGUUGUAAUUUUACAUUGAUCACUAACAUUUACUAUUAAUUGUAAGAAUAAGAAGGUCAAACAUAAAACGUAUCAGUUCAAAAUAAUUUUUAAGCAAUAUCUAUUAACAUGUUCAAGUACUUUCACAGUAACAGGUGCAACAGAUAUCUUUCUCCAAAAGCACGUUUAAACAUCCAAAAACACUUCUUAAAGGUUUGUAUAGAGAUUUAAUUUUAAACCAGCUUUACAAAUCUAAACAUUUACUUUAUACAGCCAAAUAUUUGUCGGAAUUUUUUUUAUUCAAAUAAACAGGAAAGAUUAACUAUCUUU
rnacentral:sRNA from 1 species